rnacentral:rRNA from 1 species
UUAAUUGAAGAGUUUGAUCAUGGCUCAGAUUGAACGCUGGCGGCAGGCCUAACACAUGCAAGUCGAGCGGUAACACAAGGGAGCUUGCUCCUGAGGUGACGAGCGGCGGACGGGUGAGUAAGGCUUGGGUAUCUGCCCAGUCGUGGGGGAUAACCAUUGGAAACGAUGGCUAAUACCGCAUACGCCCUACGGGGGAAAGGAGGGGAUCUUCGGACCUUUCGCGAUUGGAUGAGCCCAAGUGAGAUUAGCUAGUUGGUGAGG